UACAUGUGGGGCAAGCGUUGUUCGGAAUUACUGGGCAUAAAGGGUGCGUAGGUGGGCUGGUAAGUCAGUGGUGAAAUCUCCAGGCUUAACUUGGAAACUGCCAUUGAUACUAUCAGUCUUGAAUACCGUGGAGGUCAGCGGAAUAUGUCAUGUAGCGGUGAAAUGCUUAGAUAUGACAUAGAACACCAAUUGCGAAGGCAGCUGGCUACACGAAUAUUGACACUGAUGCACGAAAGCGUGGGGAUCAAACAGG
rnacentral:rRNA from 1 species